rnacentral:lncRNA from 1 species
UAGAUUUGAACCCAAAAUAUCAACUAAAAUUUCAUUUAAUUCUUAAAUCGAUAUUUUAUGAAUACAUUCGUUGCAUCACAUAAUACGUGUGCCAUAAUCUAGUAUAGAUUAAAUCUUUCAAUACCUAUUCAAAUUUAAAUCCAACUCAACAUGAUUUUACAUUAAGAUUCAACUACUCAAACUCAAAUCAACUGAAAUUAACAAAACUCAAAACCAUCCCAAACCCCAAAAUCAUUCAAAUGAAACCUAAAAUUACUAAAAAAAAACUUGAACUACCCAGAAUUAUUCUAAUUUAAAACUAGCCUAAAUCGAAAUAAUCUAAUAAAUUUAAAAAAUUCUCAUACUUUAUCCUCCUCGUGUUGUUGUCAACUAUCAAUUUUUUUUCUCUCUCACACCCACAAUAAUUUAAGCGAUGAUGAUGGGUUGGGCAGCAUUUUUGGGGACCGACCUCUUUUCUAUGUUGAAUUUUCUCCAAAGGAUAUAAUACAGUUGUAGGCUUUUUUAAAUGAAGUUACAAAGUUGAUCCAAAACACUAAAUCGUACUUACAUAUUAUAGGGUUUGUAUGCUUUUAA